GCACGUAGUUAGCCGGCGCUUCUUCUGCAGGUACCGUCACUUUCGCUUCUUCCCUGCUGAAAGAGGUUUACAACCCGAAGGCCGUCAUCCCUCACGCGGCGUCGCUGCAUCAGGCUUUCGCCCAUUGUGCAAUAUUCCCCACUGCUGCCUCCCGUAGGAGUCUGGGCCGUGUCUCAGUCCCAGUGUGGCCGGUCGCCCUCUCAGGCCGGCUACCCGUCGUCGCCUUGGUAGGCCAUCACCCCACCAACUAGCUGAUAGGCCGCGGGCUCAUCCUUCACCGCCGGAGCUUUUAACCCCGUCCCAUGCGGGACAGAGUGUUAUCCGGUAUUAGACCCCGUUUCCAGGGCUUGUCCCAGAGUGAAGGGCAGAUUGCCCACGUGUUACUCACCCGUUCGCCACUAAUCCACCCCGAAAGGCUUCAUCGUUCGACUUGCAUGUGUUA
rnacentral:rRNA from 1 species